CGGGGUGUAGCUUAGUCUGGUAGAGCGCUUGCUUUGGGAGCAAGAGGUCGCCGGUUCGAAUCCGGCCACCCCGACCA
rnacentral:tRNA from 1 species